CAGUCGCCACGGGAAUACGUAGGGUGCGAGCGUUAAUCGGAAUUACUGGGCGUAAAGCGUGCGCAGGCGGUUAUGUAAGACAGUUGUGAAAUCCCCGGGCUCAACCUGGGAACUGCAUCUGUGACUGCAUAGCUAGAGUACGGUAGAGGGGGAUGGAAUUCCGCGUGUAGCAGUGAAAUGCGUAGAUAUGCGGAGGAACACCGAUGGCGAAGGCAAUCCCCUGGACCUGUACUGACGCUCAUGCACGAAAGCGUGGGGAGCAAACAGGAUUAGAUACCCGCGUAGUCCCUGUCUCUUAUAC
rnacentral:rRNA from 1 species